rnacentral:lncRNA from 1 species
GGGGCCUAUGAGGCAGGAAGCUAGCCAGCCGGAAGACCGGAGCUCCCUGCCCGUGGUUCCCUGUGCACCAGAAGCCCUCCUUCCAGGGGCCUACAAGGCCGGGAGUGAGCUGUUGGUCCAAAGACCAGCGCUGCCCGCCCGAGGCUCCCCGUGCACUGGGGCCAGUUUUGUUUUAAAGAAAUGGAACUCAUCUCAAACACGUUCCUUCUGA